UGUAUCGCUCACGCAGAGCAAGAGCGCAUCGUUUUUCUUGUAAGAGAAGAGGCAUCCAGCGCGCAAACUGGUGCGGAGAUCAGCGCACUACUUUUUGUUUCGGAGUCGCCCCCACCGCGCGCCCGCACAACAUCGCGGAACAGCACAGCGCCGGAGAAAGGCGAUCCGUUCAGCGGGCAGGCCCGGGCAGGCGGCGCGCGCCAAGGCCAUCCAAGAAAACUCUUGUGCCAGCCACGUUUCACCGCCGCGAAAAGAGGACAGUCGUUCAUCGUUCGUUGGAUUGAACAACAAAUACUCCACGGCACCCGUUUUAUAAAACUCAAGAAGGCAGCUGCAAGGAGAAAAUGGUGUCAAGGAGCCAGCUCAGCACAACUCCACAUGGUGCAGAGGAGCGUAC